UCCUACGGGGGGCAGCAGUGGGGAAUUUUGGACAAUGGGGGCAACCCUGAUCCAGCCAUGCCGCGUGAGUGAAGAAGGCCUUCGGGUUGUAAAGCUCUUUCGGCCGGGAAGAAAUCGCAUGGGCUAAUACCCUGUGUGGAUGACGGUACCGGAAUAAGAAGCACCGGCUAACUACGUGCCAGCAGCCGCGGUAAUACGUAGGGUGCGAGCGUUAAUCGGAAUUACUGGGCGUAAAGCGUGCGCAGGCGGUUUUGUAAGACAGGCGUGAAAUCCCCGGGCUUAACCUGGGAACUGCGCUUGUGACUGCAAGGCUAGAGUACGGCAGAGGGGGGUGGAAUUCCACGUGUAGCAGUGAAAUGCGUAGAGAUGUGGAGGAACACCAAUGGCGAAGGCAGCCCCCUGGGUCGAUACUGACGCUCAUGCACGAAAGCGUGGGUAGCAAACAGGAUUAGAUACCCCAGUAGUC
rnacentral:rRNA from 1 species